CAAAGAUUUUUCCGGUGUGGAUAAACUACACCCUCUCAGUGCGUUUGAUGGAGGUUUUCAACAGAGCAGGAGGAAGAUAAGACUUAGAAAUAGAAAUAGAGAGAAAGCAGAGGUAGAGACAGAAAUAUAAAACACAGCAUGUACUCAGAGAGAGCAGAUAGAAGAAGAGGGAGAGGCUCACUGUCUGCAUGCAGUAGGUGUCUGCUGCAAGUCUAGCGUGACUGAUCUGAAAUCAGGUUUUCUGCCUAUAAAUAUAGAGCAGACCAAGGCCGAGGACUCUUCCACUUCUCCUGUUUUUCUCACUGUGCGAGUGCGAAGGCCACAACACUGCUUUCCUUUUCCAUUACGGUCGGAUACUUUCUCCGACGUGCCCGACGCAGAGCGAAAGGAGGGAGGUAGGGAUGGAUGAUGGAGAAGUUUCAGAAAACGCGGAACACAAGAGUGUUUUAUGACUGUGCUUCAUAAGUAAUGAUGCAGGGAGGGAUGGAUACAGGAAAGAGGAGGGAGGUGGGGCUAGGCGGAAGCUGAAAGCAGGAACAGAAAACACACGUCAAGUCGGUCUUUUGGGUGAGACAGGAGAGGAAUUAUUUAUCCUGCAUUUACACAUCAAUGACAGUUUUUCUCCCCCUCAUGAUUCCCCUGCUUCAUGCUGAAAGAAAAACGCGUAGGGCGCUCACACGGAUGGACGGCUAUGGUGCGUUUGUAAGCACAUGCAAAUUUGUAUGUAAGAGAGAGAGAGAGAGAGAGAGAGAGAGAGAGAGAAACAGAGUGUGUGUUCGUGUGUCAUUGUGCGCCUUGUAUUGUCUAACCGCAGGAAAGUGCCAAGAAGGGUUUUGUUUCUUCCUCGCCUGAGUCACGAUUGCCAGAAUUUGUUCCUUGUGAUGUGACAAGCCAACUGGCAGCUCACUGGGAAGUCUAUUAACAACAAAACACACACACACAUACACACACACACACACACACACACAGAAAAACACACACACACAGAAAAACACAAAUUCAAUCAACUGCCAGGACUGUCAUUGCCAGAUCACCUUUAACAUUAGAAAUAUCAGGGCAGUGAUUUUAAGUGUUUCUGAAUUUCCCUUUGUGGAGACUUUGUUAAGGUUAUCAUCGGAGUCUACCUUUUCUCUUAAAGUUUGUGUAUUUUUUUUUUAAAUGUCAUUUUACACACACCAGCAUAGCCAAUCAUUAAUUUUCACCAUGUUUUUGUUACUGCAAAGCAAAUCCGAGCAUUGAUUUGAGCUUAUGCCAAUAAAGGAAAUCCUGAAGGAACAUCACGCUCUGUUCCAAAUGACGGAAGCCCGGAGAGGACACGCAUCCUUAUAUUUCCUGUACUCCAUGCUCUGUGAUUAAAGCAGGCUGAGAGCUAUUAGCACUCAGGUAGGAGGAGGUGAUUAAGACGAGGCAGUGUGGUGCACACAUACACAUACACUGAGCAGGAUGUGGUGAGGAGAGCUUUGCUUUAUCCUUACCUUUCUUUUCACAUUGAGGUUCUUUUUGUCAACAUGUUUUAGACUGUUUGGUUUUGUUAUUGAGUUUGGGCUGGAGACCAGUGGUAGUGCUUUAUUUUUCUCAGGUUAGUUUCCGGUUCCAAAUUAGAUUAGGGGAAUGUGCUAUGAGUGGCAGUCCAUUGUGAGGCUGGCCAGGCACCUUUCUAUUUUUUGUUAACUUUGGCAAGGGGUCUCCAAACCCCUUUUGUUUCACUGGUUUCCGUUUCCUUUUCUUGAUUUUGAACAUUUUGGGGUCUAUUUUGUUCAAAUAAAGCUCAGUGUUUAAACAAUA